GAUGAACGCUGGCGGCGUGCCUAAUACAUGCAAGUCGAGCGAACGGACGAGAAGCUUGCUUCUCUGAUGUUAGCGGCGGACGGGUGAGUAACACGUGGAUAACCUACCUAUAAGACUGGGAUAACUUCGGGAAACCGGAGCUAAUACCGGAUAAUAUUUUGAACCGCAUGGUUCAAAAGUGAAAGACGGUCUUGCUGUCACUUAUAGAUGGAUCCGCGCUGCAUUAGCUAGUUGGUAAGGUAACGGCUUACCAAGGCAACGAUGCAUAGCCGACCUCAGAGAGGGGUCGGCGACACUGGAACGGAGACACGGUCAAGACUACUACGGGAGGCAGCAGUAGGGAAUCUUCCGCAAUGGGCGAAAGCCUGACGGAGCAACGCCGCGUGAGUGAUGAAGGUCUUCGGAUCGUAAAACUCUGUUAUGAGGGAAAAACAUAUGUGUAAGUAACUGUGCACAUCUUGACGGUACCUAGUCAGAAAGCAACGGCUAACUACGUG
rnacentral:rRNA from 1 species